GGGCCGUUAGCUCAGCUGGUCAGAGCAGGGGACUUUUAAUCCCAAGGUCCUGGGUUCGAAUCCCAGACGGCCCA
rnacentral:tRNA from 1 species